CAUCCAGGCAAUACAUAAAAAUCUAAAUUUUCUGUUUUCAACUAAUUUUAAGCAAAAAGUGUUUUUAGAUUUAAGUAUAAAGUGUAAAAAAAAAAAAAAAAAAAAACUUAUACAAAUACAGCACGAUGCAAACGACCAGUUCCAGUAGACAAUGGAUGGGUCAUACGUAUUGAACACAUAUACUCGUACAUAUGUACGGUACCACAGAAGAGAAGUACUUCUGUGGCGGGGCGGCUCGAGUCUCAAGGCAGGCAGCGAUUGGAUAAAAGCGAUGCACAUCAGGACACAAUUCAGACUUUUGCUCAAUCACCCAGGCAACACCAAUACACUUCGGAGAAUCCUUACACAUUAUACGAUGGCGAAUACAUAUACAUACGUAGAACAUUUAUCGAGGGAUGGAUCGAUGGAAAACCCAACCGAAAAGCAACACGAAAGUUGUUCAGCUAUGGAUGACACAGGAUACACGAAUCAUACGACACAAGGCAUCUGAGGGAUAGAGGGACACGAUCCGCCGCAUUCUAUUCACACAUAUGGACACAAUUGAGAUUUUGUAGAACUGUGGAGUAGGCCUACUGGGGAUACCACGUUAAAAAAAAC